AAAGAAUCAGCAACUGCAACUUUGGAUAUCAGCAUCUCUCUCUGGGUCUUUGCCAAAUCUAGCUGAGCACUGAGGCCAUGUCAAGCAUUAGGUAACAAGGGCAGUAAGUGGGAGCUUACUCUCCUUUCAUUAGGUCGGAGAUCCCUCAGGGCUCUGCAGGGACUGUGCCCUGAAGAAUUGCUGGGAGUGCAGAAGGGUCUUGCUCAACCUAAUGGUAUUGACUGCUGUUUGCUCUGUCUCGCCAGAUCAUGAAUCAUUCUGGAAACAAUCCUGAUUUCUACAAACACAUUUGUUAUUUGUA